rnacentral:rRNA from 1 species
UACAGAGGGGGCAAGCGUUGUUCGGAAUUACUGGGCGUAAAGCGUGCGCAGGCGGUUUUGUAAGUCUGUCGUGAAAGCCCCGGGCUCAACCUGGGAAUUGCGAUGGAGACUGCAAGGCUUGAAUCUGGCAGAGGGGAGUAGAAUUCCACGUGUAGCAGUGAAAUGCGUAGAGAUGUGGAGGAACACCGACGGCGAAGGCAGCCCCCUGGGUCAAGAUUGACGCUCAUGCACGAAAGCGUGGGGAGCAAACAGG